rnacentral:rRNA from 1 species
CCCUUAGAUGUUCUGGGCCGCACGCGUGCUACACUGAGUGGAUCAGCGGGUCAGGUUACGCGAGAGCGUUUCCUAAUCUUCAAAUCCGCUCGUGAUGGGGAUUGACGGUUGCAAUUUUCCGUCAUGAACGAGGAAUACCUUGUAAGCGCGGGUCAUCAUCCCGCGCUGAAUACGUCCCUGCCCUUUGUACACACCGCCCGUCGCUCCUACCGAUUGAGUGGUCCGGUGAGGCUUUGGGAUCUGAGCGGAAAGAGCGUUUCGCUGUUUCUGCCCGGAAAACUCAGUCGAACCUUAUCAUUUAGAGGAAGGAGAAGUCGUAACA